GACGAACGCUGGCGGCGUGCUUCAUACAUGCAAGUCGAACGAGAAGCUGACUUCGGUCAGUGGAAAGUGGCGGACGGGUGAGUAAUAUGUAGGAAAUCUGCCUUUAGGAGGGGGACAACAGAGGGAAACUUCUGCUAAUACCCCAUAUGAGCGUAGCUGAAAUGCUAUUCUUGAAAACUCCGGUGCCUAAAGAUGAGCCUGCAUCUGAUUAGCUAGUUGGUAGUGUAAUGGACUACCAAGGCGACGAUCAGUAGCUGGCUUGAGAGGAUGAUCAGCCACAAUGGGAGUGAGACACGGCCCAUACUCCUACGGGAGGCGGCAGUAGGGUAUUUUGCGCAAUGGGCGAAAGCCUGACGCAGCAACGCCGCGUGAACGAUUAAGCCCUUCGGGGUGUAAAGUUCUGUCAGUGGGGACGAAACUUGACGGUACCCACAGAGGAAGCACCGGCUAACUCCGUG
rnacentral:rRNA from 1 species